UUAUUCUCUGGCAGCAUGUCUCAAUCAAGAUUUAUGAGUUCAUCGAAACUACUGUCCAAUAAACAUGUGAAGCUUUAUGCUUAAACAUAGCAACAGAAGCUGACAUUUUCGUAAAUGUCUUACAAUCAAGAGAUAAAGGAGUUUCAGUAUUAUCAACUAAACUUUCGAGCUCUUUCUUUCUUCCAUUAGGAGGGUUUUUAGAAUCUACAUCAUGUUGUGCAUAGAAGUUCUUAAACAUUCUAUGUGACUUGGGUAUUUCUACAUCGAUCAAAAUUGAUUCAUUUGGUUGUUCUCCAUGAAAUUUCUAAACGUUAAAUG
rnacentral:lncRNA from 1 species